GAUGAACGCUGGCGGCGUGCCUAAUACAUGCAAGUCGAGCGAACGGACGAGAAGCUUGCUUCUCUGAUGUUAGCGGCGGACGGGUGAGUAACACGUGGAUACCCUACUUAUAAGACUGGGAUAACUUCGGGAAACCGGAGCUAAUCCCGGAUAAUAUUUUGAACCGCAUGGUUCAAAAGUGAAAGCCGGUCUUGCUGUCACUUAUAGAUGGAUCCGCGCUGCAUUAGCUAGUUGUUAAGGUAACGGCUUACCAAGGCAACGAUGCAUAGACGACCUGAGAGGGUGAUCGGCCACACUGGAACUGAGACACGGUCCAGACUCCUACGGGAGGCAGCAGUAGGGAAUCUUCCGCAAUGGGCGAAAGCCUGACGGAGCAACGCCGCGUGAGUGAUGAAGGUCUUCGGAUCGUAAAACUCUGUUAUUAGGGAAGAACAUAUGUGUAAGUAACUGUGCACAUCUUGACGGUACCUAAUCAGAAAGCCACGGCUAACUACGUG
rnacentral:rRNA from 1 species